UACACGUGUUACCAUGGUGACGACAAUAACUAAGUAAUGUAAAAUUUAUUCUGUGGGGAGGAAAAAAUAAAACGCGUGGCGAUCAUCACCGGUGCUCAGGAGAGGACGCUCAUUCAAGGAUUGCUUGAGUUCAUCCCGUCCGGCGCACCUGUCCCUCCAAUCAAACUCUGAGGCUGGUCACCAUGGAGACACAAAACAAACCAGACACGAUCACAGACUUGGAUGGAUGUGCAAGGGUUGCGGGAAAGCUGGAGCCGACACCAUCACUGAGCGGGAAUCGAUCCCACGCUGCCCGCACCAAAGCCUUGGCACAGAAGCCUGCCACAG